UCAAUGAGACAUUAGUUGAUCAAGGCAAUCAGCUGAAGAGGCUGGAAGAAAAACAUUUGCGGUUGCCUGACCCAGGUCCAGAAAAGGAUGAGGCCGAAGAAGAAAUUUGUCUAAUUUCUUCUUCCAAGGAAGAACUGGAAAGUUUAAACCGCACACUUGGAGAAAAUGAAUUGACCAGAAAAAAAGUGAUACACCGUCUUGCUCUUUUGGGUGGAAGAUCCCUGAGGGAUGUGACGAGAGGAAUUCUUGGGGCCCUCCUUAGCCAUGAGUUGAGCAAGAGAUACACUAGGACAGGUACCUCUGGGAAGUUGGCCUUAGAAGACAACGUAACUUUGAGGGCUGUGAUCAGAAAAAGGAUUAGGAAAACUAAAGACUACAAAUCCGCCACAGACAAAGAAAUAAAUGAA